UCAUUACACGCUGAUAAAAUUGUUGCCCCUGUUUUUCUACAAAGUCAAUCUACCUGCAGAUGAUUGACUGUUGCUUUGCCAGAUGUCUGGCUUGAAACUUACAGUAAGAAAUAAGAUUAAUUAGAGUGCUGUGUGGUGGUGUUUGAUUAAUUGUAACAUUGAUCACAGAACAUGUGGAGGGAGAGACAGAGUGAAGCUUGAUUGAUGAGUCAAUGUGAUACCAGCUCAAGAUAUUCUCUCUUAAAGCCUGAAGCUCACCAGCUGCUUUUUUCUUUUGUGCCUUAAGUACACAAACACAAUGUGUGUUCAGCGUCCUUUUGUUCCUCACUGUUUUCUUGAAAUACAAGAAUAACAGGGUUUCAAAUAGCGUAGCACCCACUUGGUUCACAUGGGGCUAUCUUCUUCAUGGAAGUUACACCUGGAGCAUGAGACAAUCACAGUGGUUGCUAGGUAACGGAUCUCCUCAUGGUCUCAGCUGUGAGCUUCCAGAGAACCAAGCUUUGCUCAGUGAAUCACUCCCUACACUUGAAACAUGAGUCUCCGUAGUGAAGCCAUGUUUGGCAUCACCUGGAAAUUCCUCGACAUCGUCCUGGAUCCAUUUUCUUCAGAUACAUUUGUCAUCCUGAUUUUUUUCAUAUUUUAAUUUCACUAUUAAUGUAAUUUCAGUCUAUUCUAUAUGAGCAGCUUAUGUUUCUGUAUGCCUCUUUAUUUUCCCAAUUAAAGGGAUUUUUUCUUUACCACAUUAGAGGGUAUAAGGACAGAGGGUGUUAUAUGCUAUUUAGAUUGUUAACACCUUUGAAACAUAUUUGGGGUUGAUGAAUGAAAUUGAGUUGAGUAAAGCGAGGAAAUAUAUUAUUUUGUAAUUUGGGAGAAGUGACCCUUUAAGUAUUUACCCAUGAGGCCCUAAACUGUAAAUUAUUCUUUACAUGUGAUGUCUAAUAAAUAUUUCUUGCCAGUUGCACAGUAGUCAGGGUUUAAAUGAGGCACAUAAGGUGAUCUGGAGGACUACUGCUGAUUUAUCUUGGACUGGGACACUGUUGUGGUGCUACAGUUUGGCACAGCUGCUCUCAUAAAAUGUUUUGAUACCCCCAAUAAGAGUUCAGUGUUUUACUGUGAUUAAAUCCCCCAGGCCUGUUUGCAGUAAAAAUCUC